UUGAACACUAGAUGUGUCGUCCAACUGAGCAACAUUCAGAAGCUUACAAAACUCAAUUUUGAAGAAAGCUCAGAUAAUCUCUUGCUUCUUGACCUCCUUGUCCAAAUUCCAUCUUGCAUACGCGACUAACUCCAACUAAUUUGCCUUCUCAACUACAGAUAACUCUUCUAUGUUUUCGGUGUAUAUUUAUGGUGAGUUGCCGUGGAUUGAUUUUGUAAAUAUAAAACAUCUAGAGUUGGUGCUUGAUCCAAUGAAUAGUUGUAAUCCUGGCGGGGCAACUUACGUGCGUCUUUUGACUGAAGCAUGUAUUUCAUUAGACAAACUUGUGAUAAGGGUAUGCAUCAACUCAAACUACCUACUUACUUUGUCAUUUUAAAUUUAAAUUUGAGUGUAGUCAUUACGUUGUUUGAUGCAUUUUUCAUACAUCAUUUUGGAGUACCCCCUAUGUACUUAAACCUUCGACUACAACUGAUUUUAUUUUAAGUACAUUAUUCUACAUCCAA